CAAAAGAAACUGCAAAGCAAAAUCACCAAACACCUGUAUAAAGCUAUAUACUUACACAUCGACUAAAUACCACUAAUUAAUUAUAUGUUAAGGAAGAAAGAAAACAACACCAACAGCAGCCAUAGCUGAAUUAAUGUUAAACAAGAAAACAAACCAGCAACAAGAUGAAACAAGAAUCCAUAAUCUAAUUUACUUAUGAUGAUUUUAGUUGGAACCCAAUGGCGAACACUUCUCGUAGCCUUUAAUUUGUUUAAACCUUCAAUCACUACUCGCU
rnacentral:lncRNA from 1 species